rnacentral:tRNA from 2 species
GCGGAGGUAAUCAAGUGGUUACGAUGCGGGCCUGCUAAGUCCGUGGGAGAAUAUUCUGCGAGGAUUCCUCGCAAAAAUCCACAUCCUGCGAGGGUUCGAACCCCUCCCUCCGCG